ensembl:antisense Gm44284 predicted gene, 44284
GAACUCUUUCCUGCAUCCCAAGAGUGUGUGCAGACCAUAACGAGGGGCUCAGGAUGCCCUGGGCGAAGCAGGUCGAGUGAGAACGAGCCAGGUUGAAGAACCGUGCAGCUCCCGUUACACUUCAGAGAACGGAUCCAGAGGGGAAGAUUCCUGGCCCACAUUCCCGCCUCCUACCCCCAGGCGGGAGACUUGGAACAGUCCCAAGGGUCCUGGCUCCCAGCCAGGAGCUCCAAGAUGAGUUGACUGGUUCCUAGACUUCAGAAAAUCUCAUCUGGUCCUAUCCUCUGAGCUCUACAAAUUCCUCACCUCUGACUUCUGGUUUCUUAGCUGCUGAGGCCUGCUUCCUACCUUUCUGCCUGGUCUGCUCCAGCUUCUGACUUGGGCAUAAUGACAGCAUCUCAAUGUCCUAUGAGCUUUGGGAUCUGAUAGGACGCAGCAAAAGAGCACUAGAUCGUUGGAGAGAGAAAGUGAGCUCCGCUCAUCCGAGACCCCUUGGACUGGCCUUACUCCUUGGGGGUUUUUUAUAGUGUCUUAGUCUUCUUUCUGUUCUAUCCCAUGAGUAUUAGCACAUGAGGAUGCCCCCUCAUCCUCAUUACAGCUGGUACAUGGAAUCACAUAGCAAAAGUUCAUGGGCUACAAAGAAGGAAGGAAAGGGAAAGACUGAGAUGGCUUUCUAACUACCCAUUCUUCCAACACCGAGUCCAGUCCUGAGAGCCCUAAUUCUCCCAGUAGAAGGGCUCCAAUCUUUUGAGAAGAGGUCCCUCAAUGAUUUAAUUUUCUCCCACUAUUUCCACCCUUUAAAGGAUCCACCAUCUUUCAAUACUGUUAUAGUAGGAAAAGAACUUCCGGCACAUGAUUCUUUAGGGGACAAACUAUAUCCAAGCUAGAGUGGAUGGAACAUUCAAAUCAGAAGUAAUUCUCUGCUGAACUUUCACACAGAUCUGCUUAAUAAACAGCCAGGUGCAUCCACCCCCUUGGUGACCUGAAGCACAGCUCCUGUGAGUGUCUUCUGGAAGCAGCUGUCUGUGCAUCCACCCCCUUGGUGACCUGAAGCAUAGCUCCUGUGAGUGUCUCCUGGAAGCAGCUGUCUGUGCACCAGCACGUAGAAGACAAGGUUACAGGAUCCUAUGCUACGUGGAUUGGUGAUGCUGGCUUGCCCAUGGUAUCUGUUAGUUUUCUCUUAGCUGAGACAAAAUACCUGAAGAAAGAGCUGAAGGAAGGUUUGUGUGCACAGUCCACCAUGACAGAGAAGGCAUGACUACAGAAAUAUGGGGGAGCUGGUUAAACUUCUCAGGAAGUGGAGAAUGAUGGAUGCUGGUGCUCAGCUUUCUUUCUUGUUCAUCCAAUCCAGUAUCACAGGUCAUGGGAUGGUACCACUCUCUCAGUGCACAUCUUCUCUUUUCCGUCAACUAUUUCUGGAAAGAUCCUCAGAGACGGUCCCAGAAGUAUGUCUUUUAUUUAAUUCUAAAUAUAGUCAAGCUGACAAUAGAGAUUAACCAUCACACCCAUGAAGGAGACUUUUGCACGUAGGAGAUAUGUGGCUGGGAACAGCAUCAAAGACAACACUUACCAUCCUGAACCAUGCCUAUAAGCUUCUUUAUCUGAUUAUAUAUGGCAAUGAUCCCAGCUUAGAGUUGCCAAGGUGUCAGAUUGCAGAAGAUGAGCAAGCUGUGUUGGCCUAAAGAGUUAUGCCUUCUUCACUGUCUAGCAGGUCUGAGAUUGGUCAGCAUAGGCCUUUCUGCCUCUCCUGCCAACAGAAGGCAGAAAGCAUCUGCUGUGGCUCUUGGCAUUUGAUAGACUAGCUUGGAGCUACCCUUCUGGCCUCAGCAACCUGCACAGUGUAGGACCCUCCACCAGCACAGGGUCUGGGAACUUCAUCUACUGAUUGUUCUGAGAACCUCUGAGAGCCGGAGCACGGUGAAGAAAGCUCCAUGCACGACCAUGAAGGUGGAGGAUUACCAGACCCCCAAGGCCAGCCUGAAUGAGAUAAUAAAUUUCAGGGCAUCCUGGGCUCUAGCGAGAAGCUGUAUACCAUUCCUUCCCCCAAAAGAAAAACCUCAAGUAUAUUAAGUAAGUAAGUAAACAAACAAACAAACAAAUAAGUAUAUCAUUUUUGCUAGUUUUCAGACUGUAAUUUCUACUCAGACAAGGUUUACCUAUGUAUUAUCCCCACCCCUAGUACCUGAAGCAAGCAGGCCUCCUAUGAGCAGCUGCCUAUGAGUUGUCCUAAAGCUGACUCAGCAAGGGGAUUUUCUGAACCUCUUCCUUGAUGGCCCAAGGUACAGACUCUUUUCAUAGAUGUUAAAUGGGAUGUGAGUUAUGAGUAUCAGAUGGCAGCACCUGAGACCUCUUGCUGCAAGCCUUCCUAAGGAGAGCUGAUUGUUUUUCUAUUUCAGAAAUUAGGACUGUAAGCAGAUGCAUCCCUUCUUAGCUUAUGAGCUCACCUUAAUUGAAGACAGUCAGGAGGGAAAGAAUGGUUAUCCACUAAAAUUCCCUUAACUGAGUAAUACUGCUUUUAUUUAUUUUAACUGAACCCCCCUCAUACAAUAUAUUUUACCAUGUUUUUUUCCUUUCCCUAAUUUCCACUCAGAUUUUCCCCUACCUCCCUACCCACUCAAUUUUAUUUUUUUAAUUUAAAUUCUUUGUCUUUUAUUGUACAGAUUAUAAUUACCUCCCCUUUCCUUCCUUUAAGUUCUCCCAUAUACCCAUCCUUGUUCUCUUUCAAACUCAUGACCUCUGUUUUCAUUAAUUGGUGUUAUAGGCAAUAUAUAUAAGCAUAUACAUGCAUGUUCCUAUAUAUAACCUGCUCAGCCUCCAUACUGUUAUGUGUAAUACUUUCUAUUUAUUCAUAGACACUAAUUAUUUAAAAGAAAUGAAGACUCACAUAUCCAAGGUUCUUUCUUUCCUACAAUACUAGGAUGGAUUUAACCUGUGGUUUCUUGUCUUCUGGGUGUAUACUCUUGAAGACAAGGAAGCCAGUUGAAGGGUUUGGGAAGAUAGUUCAAAGAGUAAAUUACCUGCUGUGAAACAAGAGGACCUCAGUUCAAAUCCCCAGCUCCCACAUAAAAUCUGGGUGUGGUGGUGUGCAUUUGUAACCCUAGCAUGGGGGUGGGGGGUGGAUUGUGAAGGGAUGGAGGCGAUUAGUUCUCCUGAAGUCUCUGGCCACUCUACCCAAUCAAUGAGCACCUAUUUCAUUGAGAGAGCUGGCCUCAAAAGAUAAGAUUGGGGAGUAGGAGAGUUGGCUCAGUGGUUAAGAGCACUACUGCUCUUUCAGAAGCCUUUGGUUUAAUGCCCAGUACCCACAUAGUGACUCAUGAGUGUCUAACUCCGGUUCCAGGGGGUCUGACACCCUCGUCUGGUCCCUACAGGCACUGGGAAAGCAGAGUGCACACAAGCAAAAAACUCCUACAUGUAAAACAAAAUAAACAUUGAUAUUUGUGUAUU